CUACACNUGNNAGUCGAGCGGCAGCGCGAGUAGUUUACUACUUGGCGGCGAGCGGCGGACGGCUGAGUAACGCGUGGGAACGUACCCCAAAGUGAGGAAUAACCGCUCGAAAGGGUGGCUAAUGCCGCAUAUGGUCUUCGGAUUAAAGGAUUUAUCCGCUUUGGGAACGGCCUGCGUACGAUUAGAUAGUUGGUGAGGUAAAGGCUCACCAAGUCUACGAUCGUUAACUGGUCUGAGAGGAUGAUCAGUCAGACUGGAACUGAGACACGGUCCAGACUCCUACGGGAGGCAGCAGUGAGGAAUCUUCCACAAUGGGCGAAAGCCUGAUGGAGCAACGCCGCGUGCAGGAUGAAGGCCUUCGGGUCGUAAACUGCUUUUAUAAGUGAAGAAUAUGACGGUAACUUAUGAAUAAGCACCGGCUAACUACGUGCCAGCAGCCGCGGUAA
rnacentral:rRNA from 1 species